rnacentral:rRNA from 1 species
GAUGAACGCUGGCGGCGUGCCUAAUACAUGCAAGUCGAGCGAACGGACGAGAAGCUUGCUUCUCUGAUGUUAGCGGCGGACGGGUGAGUAACACGUGGAUAACCUACCUAUAAGACUGGGAUAACUUCGGGAAACCGGAGCUAAUACCGGAUGAUAUUUUGAACCGCAUGGUUCAAAAGUGAAAGACGGUCUUGCUGUCACUUAUAGAUGGAUCCGCGCUGCAUUAGCUAGUUGGUAAGGUAACGGCUUACCAAGGCAACGAUGCAUAGCCGACCUGAGAGGGUGAUCGGCCACACUGGAACUGAGACACGGUCCAGACUCCUACGGGAGGCAGCAGUAGGGAAUCUUCCGCAAUGGGCGAAAGCCUGACGGAGCAACGCCGCGUGAGUGAUGAAGGUCUUCGGAUCGUAAAACUCUGUUAUUAGGGAAGAACAUAUGUGUAAGUAACUGUGCACAUCUUGACGGUACCUAAUCAGAAAGCCACGGCUAACUUCGUG